rnacentral:lncRNA from 1 species
ACUGUGGGCAUGGCCAAAAAAAAAAGUCUUGAAUGUAAAAUGGUGCCUAAGUUUUGAUGGUUUCAUUGUUUCAUUUGACAGAUGGUCUCUCCAAAUGACACACAAAGGUUUGUUUGUUUGUUGUUUUUUUGCCGCACCUGUAGCUUAUGGAAGUUCCUGGUGGCCAGGGAUAGAAUCUGAGCUGCAGCUGUGACCUACGCCACAGCUACAGCAAUGCCGAAUCACUUCACCCCCUGUCCUGGGCCAGGGAUUGAACCUACACCUCUGCAGAGGCAGUGUGGGAUCUGUAACUCUAGGCGCCACAGUGGGAACUCUGACAUACAACACUUCACCAUUAAUCAUCGCUGCAAAACUGAGUUUGGUUGGUUUACGAAGGAUACCACUGUGCAUAGCUGGGCAGUGGUGGAGCUGAGAGUCAAACCCAUCCGCCACGAGGAUGGAUGGAGACGGGUGUUCUUAGGAAGAUCCACCAAAGUGCUGUUCCGCCAGGAAUACUGGGGGUCCAGGGUGGCUUCUCAGAAGAGCUGGAGUGUGCCCUGGGUUUAAAGGGCAAACACAGGUUAGCCGGAUUGAGGCGGGAGGAGGCUUCUAGGAAGCAGAUGCCCAAACAUAUCGCCUGGUGCUUGUGCCUUCUGGAGACGGUCAGUGGUUCACUGAGGCAGGACCAUGCUGGGCAGCGAGGAGUGGCCAGAGGUGACCCAGAAGGUCGGAGGGAGGCCCUCUAAGUCCCACGGAUGGCUUAGCUCAGAGCUUUGCUCUAAGGCUUCCCAUCUACCCUGAAGGAUGAAGAAAGCUGCAUUUCACUCUUCAAAACGAAAACCAUCUCAAGAAUGUUUUUAUUUGAAAUGUGAUUACUAUGACUCUGAGAGCCUUAAAACUAUUUUACAAAAAUAUCACUGGGGAGAAAGGACUCACUUGAACUGUGUUUUAGAGAAGAUAGAGCAGAGGUGUCCUUUAAGAAACCUGGUGGCUGAAUGUUACGAAUUGCAUUAUUUAGUUGCCUUAUUUCUUUAUGUGUCACAGGCAAGGGGCCCAAAGCCAUGAAUUCAUUUCAAGGUCAAUUCCUCCCCAGCAGGUAAUAAUCUAUGCCUCCAUCCUAGGUUUGCUGUUACUGCAAAGCAACUCGUGUGCUUCGUUUCUUAAGGGGGGAACACAUCUGCGUCCGGGACCUCCAUUCUCAGCUGCACUGAGGGAUACAGGAGCUGACACACGCAAAAGCUCCGUUGCACUGAAAUACUACACAAUGUGUUGUCACUGUUCAGGUGACAAAACCCCCAGAUACUCCCUGACAGGUGAAGCAAUAGAUGAAAGCAUAUUUUGAGCAUGACACACAUUUCGGAGAUGGUGUCUAAAGAUCUUAAAUUUGACUAGCCUUCUCUAAAUUUCAGUCUAAUCUGCUCUGCAAGAAAAAUGCAUGUGUUUUCAUUUCGUUGUUGUUUAUGUCAUGCAAGCUGUGUGUGUGUGUGUGUGUGUGUGUGUGUGUGUGUGUGUGUGUGUGUGUGUGAUAGAUACUUGGUAUUGAAGAAGUCCUAGAAACCUUUCAUUCUGGAGUGGUGGAGUCAGAGUUCCCGUUGUAGCUCAGCAGGUCAAGGACCCGAAGUUGUCUCUGUGAGGAUGCAGGUUUGAUCCUUGGCCUGGCCCAGUGGGUUGGGGCUCUGGUGUCGCCGUGGCUGUGGCAAAGGCCAUGGCUGUGAUGUGGGUCGCAGCUGCAGCUCCUAUUCAACCUCUGGCCCAGGAAUUCUAUAUGCUGCAUGUGCAGCUGUAAAAAGAAAAAAAAAAAAGGAAUGGCAGAGUCUCAUUUUCCUGGAGGUCACUCAGCCUUCAAUCUCCUCCAUUGAUUUGGCUGAGGAUGCAAAAAAGGAUGCUAUUUGGUGAGUUGCUUUUACCUGUGGAGAGAGAAAAGCCCAGAUUAUGGUGAAAAGAAGGCCUGUGACAGGUGUGUCCUCAUGCACGGGAUGUCAGCCCCUGAAGUGGUGACUGCCAGGGCAUGCCCAUCCUUCCUUCCUAUGGUUCAGCACACCUGAGGCUGCACCUGAACAGUGUGGGCGUGACCAGGGUCCCACAGGUACAGGGUGGGGCUGCCCGACAGAGCCGUGGCUUGUCUGCUUGAGAUCUUGCUUGAAUCUGCCUUUUGUCGAUUUCCCUGUCCUUUGCCCUCAGCGAGUAGACUCAGGUCGGCCCACCGAGGCCAAGAUUGUCUCGUGUUCAUCUUUCUACGUAAGCAGCUCUACUGGCGCGUCAAACUCGUAAAUGUUUAUUGAACCGAGCUACACACCGACUCACAUCAGGCCCCUUCUUCAGGGCAGAUUUGCGCUGCGGGAGAGACACCGUGGGGAGUGGAGUGGCGAGCACUGUGGGGAAGUCUCGACUUUCUGAUUUGUUGUCUUGCCUUGGGCUGACCUUGCACAGCUCCCUGGAACGCUCUUGCACUUGCAGGGCCUGGUUGAUGUAGCACUAACUCUGCUUUUUUGGAGGUAGCCACUGGCGGGGGGGUAAGUUUCAUUUAUGUAUCAGUUAGCUUUUGCUGCAGUAACAAACAGCCCUAAAAUGCUCAGUGCCUUAUCACAACAGAUAUUUCUUGUCUUGUCUUUCUGUCUGUCUUUUUCUUUUCUUUCCUUUCUUUUUUCUUUUCUUUUCUUUUCUUUACUUUCUUCUUUUUAGGGCCACACCAGAGGCAUAAGGAAGAUCCCAGGCUAGGGGUCAAAUCAGAGCUGUUGCCACCGGCCUACACCACAGCCACAGCAACACCAGAUCCAAGACAAGUUUGGAACCUACACCACAGCUCACGACAAUGCCGGAUCCUUAACCCACUGAUGGAGGUCAGGGACCGAACUCUUAGCUUCAUGGUUCCUGGUUGGAUUCGUUUCCACUGAGCCAUGACGGGAACUCCAGGAGCAUCUUAAUGGCUCAGCAUCUCUGUUUUGUAAUUGACUGAAAAAAAAAAAAAUCUCUUCCUUACCCUAGAGGCAGUGUAAACCUGUAUUUUCCAAUAAAUGAAACCAGAGUUCUCUUUCAUUGGUCAUCUUCAAAUUAUUGUUCCUUCCUAAGCAGACAAGCCGGCUUCAGAGUUGCCCAGUGCAUGGAGGAUUUUGCAGCCAGAAGGCAAAGUUCAUUUUGGCUGUCAUGCAUGGAGAAUUGACCUGGCAUUUUUCCUCAUCCUGUGAGACAUGAAUAAGAACGAAAGAACAAGCCAUAGCUUUUCUGCUGUAGACCCUCUCCCCCCACCCCCCCACCCCCAUCUCCCGCGACAGACCCCAUAAAACUGGAUGAGACCAUACAGCCAAAUCGCAGAAGAUCCUGGCUGAGGACAGCAGAUCCCGCUGAAGGAAUAUAAACCCUGAUUUAUGGAGUCUCUUUAUCUAACACUUAAAAUGCUGAUGUACGGCGGGAGCCCAGCCCAGAUAUUGCAACAGAGCGUGACACUUCUGCUUGGCUGGCGCUCUGCGGGUUGUCAGUGGGCUCUUCACCACGCCUUUUCCCAUUCAAGUGUGUGCAGCUUUUCAGACUUGGAAUAGCACGGGGCACAUUCAGAAACCAUCCAAGGGCUGCAGACUUUGUCAACUUAUCUCCUUUCCUUUGGGGAUGGAUUCAGGCAAUUAGACCGCAACCUACAUGUUUUUCUUCCCCUUUUGUUUAUGCCGGGAUUCUCAUAAUAGCUGUGAUGAAUGGUAUCCCAGCAUAAAAUUAAUGCCCACAGUAGUGGUAAGUGAUGGCAGCGAUGCUGCGAGAAGCCAGAGUACCAUCAAUUCACAGAUACAACGGCACGCGGAGAUGGGGCAGUGGUUUGACUAGUUAAUUUAUGAAGCCUUAAGGCUUGUAAUAAAUUCUGGCCCAAUAAACGGUGUCAGGCAGUGUAGACUGAAAUAGAAUAGGUCCACCUUGUACAGUGGGCAGGGCCUCCCGAGCGGUUUCCGUUAGUGAGGAUCUCAGAACCGUGAUGCUCUGAGGUCUGCUGGCAGGGCUCGUGUGCCUUUGGGUUUCUUUCCAGGAAUACAGAGGGCCGGGGUCUGAAAGUGGAGCCAGGGAGUGAGUUGGGCUGGGGUUGCAGUGCCAUGGCGUGGGGGCGAGAGGCAGAAGGGAGGGAGGCAGAGAAGGAGGGGGGAGAAUGAGGAAAUGUUGCCUCUCGGGGUGCCCAAGGGGCUUCUCGGCUUCUCCGCAUACCUGGUCUGCCAGCCACAGUUCCAGGCCUCAUGGGCUCAUAAGACGGGGGACCUCGAAAUGCUUCCAGCCCAGUAUCUGCGGGGAGGAUGGACGGGGUCUGCAGAUGGAGUUGUCAUGGACACCGUCUUGGACCGGCUGCGCGGCGGCAGACGCGAGGGAAUUCGAUUUGAUUUGAAGUGCCUGGCAGACCCGGUCGUCUUCCCACGUGACCCACCUUCCCACGACCCCUUCGAAGGACCUCUGUUUACUGUUCCAGGUUCCUCUUCAGUUCUGUGCUUAGUCCCUAACUUUGUUUUAUUAAGCCCUCGCUGCGUUCUCAGAACUGGUCACUCACUUCGUGGGCCCAGCCAUCCAGGGCGCUUGGGAUAAUUUAAUUCUUACUUGAUCGUUGGCGAACCGGAGGGACAGAGAAGGGACUUGACUGGUGUCACGCGGCCAGUGAGGGCGGAGGGUCAGCGGGCUUAACCCUCACGUGCUCUGGCCCCCCUCUCAGGGAGGGACACACUUUUCUCAGGGCAGGAGGCCUGCUGGCUGGUCCUGCCCAUCCCCAGUGUGGUGGAGGCGUCACUGUGUCCUACGGAUAGAACAGCUGCAUCCCCCAAAGGCCAGGUCCCUUCCCUGGAAGAAUCUUCUAAAGGAUUCAGUGUUAUCCAUUUUAUCAAGUUAUGAUUUUUUUAAAGCUAAUUUUUUUUUCCUUUUCUUCCUCCCAAAUGGGGGAAAUUUGAUCAUUCUUGCUAACCUUACAGUUACAACUGUUUAAAAAUGUUGCCAUUCAAGCGUCUUGCUUUGCCGGCCAAAGAUUGGAGAGUCUAUCUGAUUUUAGAGGAUUCUCACUUUGUGUUACUUUUUCUUUGAUGAUUUUUAUUUUUUCCAUGAUAGUUGGUUUAACAGUGUUUUGUCACUUUCUGCUGUACAGCAAAGUGACCCAGCCGUGUGUGUGUGUGUGUGUGUGUGUGUGUGUGUGUGUGUGUACAUUCUUUUUCUUACGUCAUUCUCCAUCAUGUUCCAUCACAAGUGACUGGAUAUAGGAGUUCCCAUUGUGGUGCAGUGGAAACGAAUCUGACUAGGAAACAUGAGGUUGCGGGUUUGACCCCUGGCCUCACUCAGUAGGUUAAGGAUCCCGUGUUGCCAUGAGCUGAGGUGUAGGUCACAGGCUUGGCUCAGAUCUGGUGUUGCUGUGGCUGUGGUGUAGGCCGGCAGCUGUAGCUCUGAAUAGACCCCUAGCCUGGGAACUUCCAUAUGGCAGGGGUGUGGUCCUAAAAAGACUAAAAAGACAAAACAAACCAAAAAAAAAAAAAAAAGU